AUAGCGUAUAUUAAAGUUGUUGCAGUUAAAAAGCUCGUAGUUGAAUUUCGGGAUCAAUAUGCUGGUCGUGCCAUUGGUACGUACUAGUAUUAUUGGUUUCUCCUUUCUGAUGAAUCAUGAUGUCAUUAAUUUGAUGUCAUGAGGAAUCAGGACUGUUACUUUGAAAAAAUUAGAGUGUUUAAAGCAGGCUCGCGCUUGAAUACAUUAGCAUGGAAUAAUGAAAUAGGAUGUUUGAUUCUAUUUUGUUGGUUUCUAGGAUUGACGUAAUGAUUAAUAGGGAUAGUUGGGGGCAUUAGUAUUCAAUUGUCAGAGGUGAAAUUCUUGGAUUUAUUGAAGACUAACUACUG
rnacentral:rRNA from 1 species